ensembl:snRNA U6 U6 spliceosomal RNA
GUGCUCGCUUCAGCAGCACAUAUUCUAAAAUUGGAACAAUAGAGAUUAGCAUGGCCCUGCAGGGAUGACAUGCAAAUUGGUGAAGCAUUAUUUAAAAAA